GAUGAACGCUGGCGGCGUGCCUAACACAUGCAAGUCGAACGGAAGCACGGGUACUUGGAUCCUCUGGCGAGUGGCGAGCGGGUGAGUAAUACAUGGGGACAACUCCUCUAUUGGAGGAUAGUCCGGCGCAGGACCGAUUACUACCGCCGACGAUCUUUUGGUGACAGCGGGGGAACUUCUGGCCGCGGGCUGUAGGGUCGGCCGUUGGCUGAUUCGCUAGUUGGUGGCGUAAUGGCCUACCAAGGCGACGAUAAGUAGCCGGGCUGAGAGGGCGACCAGCCACACUGGGACUGAGACACGGCCCAGACUCCUACGGGAGGCAGCAGUGGGGAAUUUUGGACAAUGGGCGAAAGCCUGAUCCAGCAACGCCGCGUGUGUGAAGAAGGCCUUCGGGUUGUAAAGCACUUUUGUCAGGGAAGAAAUCCUUGGCCAGAAACCGGGCGGGUGAUGACGGUACCGGAAGAAUAAGCACCGGCUAACUACGUG
rnacentral:rRNA from 1 species